UUCGCCAAGCUUUUCGCCAAGGUGCUCUCUCUCCGUCUUGCACCCAGGCUCGGCGACAUGGUCUCCACCAAUCAGAGUGCGUUCAUCGUGGGCAGAUGCAUUCAUGAUAAUUUCUUGCUCGUCCAGCAAAAGACACGACAUCUUCACAACCUCAAGCAGCCGCGCGCCAUGCUCAAGCUUGACAUUGCCCGCGCAUUCGACUCUGUCUCUUGGGCUUUUCUGCUAGACACCCUCCGCCACCUUGGCAUCGGUCGACGAUGGCGCGAAUGGGUUUGCAUCCUCCUCGGCACGGCUAGCACGCGCAUCCUCGUCAACGGCACCCCGGGGCUGCCAAUCCUCCACAUGCGUGGCUUUCGGCAAGGGGACCCCCUGUCCCCUAUGCUAUUCAUCAUGGUGAUUGACACCCUCAACAAUUUGCUCUAUUGGGACGUCGCCAGCGGCGUGCUCCAACGCCUUACCUCACGCCACAUGGCCUCGAUUAUUUCCCUCUAUGCCGAUGACGUGAUCGUCUUCUGCCGGCCGAACAAGCAGGACCUCUCGGUCGUCCGUCGGCUGCUCACCCUCUUCGGCAAUGCAUCUGGGAUGUACACCAACUUCAACAAGUGUGCGGCCUCCCCAAUCCAAUGCACGCCCGAGGAACGCCUGGCAAUCUCAUCCCACUUUGCAUGA
rnacentral:rRNA from 1 species